rnacentral:lncRNA from 1 species
AAAUUAUUACAACCAACAUCUUUGUAUGUCAAGACUCCAUGAGAGUGUCUUAAGACCUUGCAUCUCACAUGAAAGCAGAAUCAGGAAAAAUUAACGACAUGAAGUACUGCAUACUGAGGAAGAUAAACUGCAUAAUAACGAGUUCCCAUGAAUCACAGAAAAAAAGAUGCCAUGCUGAGGAAAACAAAGGAGAUCCUUCUUAAAAUUAAUCCAAGAAAGGAACAGAUAUCUUUCUCAAGCUGUUAGCCAUUUUACAUGAGGUAGCUGCAAUGUCCUUGAGAGCCACUGGGUAUCUCCUCAUUGACAGUGUGUCAGAACUGGUG